CACGAGUCCGUGCUCGCGUACUUGAAAAUUGAGAAACGGCCCACGAGUCCGUGCUCGCGUUCUCGGCGGGUACGUACUCCCGUACGUUCUCGGCGAGUACGUACUCACCGAGAACGCGAGUACGUACUCGCGUACUCGGGCAUUGAUAAACGGCCUGUGUGUGGACAUUACUCAGUGUUACAGGACGAUAUCCGUCUGAAGCUGGACCUCAGGAAUAACAACGAGUUUAUCAUGGAGUUUUCGCCCGUGGCCACCACACAAGCUAAGGACCUACGUGUUUUCUCAACAUCGGUAGUUGUUCCUCCAAGUAGUCAGUUAGUCUUAAUUAUUAUGCGUAAUUAGUCUGCCUGGACCUGGUCCCUGGACGGCUGCUGUUCCACCAACUGCACAAACUGUUAUUCCGCCUGGUUUCCCAGUCUCAAGAUGGAGGAUCACUAACAGGAGCGUGGGAAGACUCCAGAAUCCGCUCUGGCUGGAAUCCGGUGGAUACAGCAGUGUUACAGGAGUCGCUGAAAGGUUUCCCUAAUAGUUCCUGGUGAAUCAAAGCAGAACCAUAAAGGUUGCUGGACUGCAUGAUGGCCUUACCCCUGAGCAGUCAUCCUGUUAAAGGAGGAACCAGUUAGAAGCUGUUUUCAAAGUAGCUGAGCAGAUUUCAUCUCAACAGACAAAGCCGAUGCCAGAAGAUGUUUGGAGAAGAACUUCAGGCCGUGUACUGAAAAGUAGAUCAAAGCAGCUCGUGCUCUGUCUGCUUCCAUUCUGAUGGCAAGAAGAAGAAGAAGAAUGCUUCAGCGAAGUGGCGUUCAUGGUCUCAGUGGACAGUCAUGGUCACACACUGCAUGUGGUUUUAAAAGCAAGAUUGUUCACCACAACAAUGGAGAUGUGUAAUAUUAGUGCAGCUACGGUUUGUUCUUGAACAUCAGUUCUGUUUUCUACUUUGACCACUUAGACCAAAAAAGUGUUGUUUUCAGAUUCUUUCUUAUAAAUCUAUAAAGCACCUGCUCAUUUUUUAUUACAAUUAGUUUCACAUAAAUGUUAGUGUUUCCUUUAUGAUCUUUUAAUGCUUACACUACACUGUACAUGUCUACAUUAGAGACAUUUCUGUUACCUAUGUAUGAGACUGGGCUGCUUGACUACGAUUUGAAAUGGAUGCAAAAUCAC
ensembl:lncRNA